GCGCCCGUAGCUCAGUUGGCAGAGCGGUGAAACGGUGAUCCACAGUCCCAGGUUCAAGCCCCGGCGGUCGCU